AUUGUUUCAGUAAUUUGUUAACAUGUAUAAUCCUUCCUUCUCUUACUUACAGAAAGAGGUCAAGAUGCGGCAUAGCUUCCAACAGCAAUUAUGCGAUGCACUUGCAAUUCUUAAAGCACACUAUGCAGUAAGUUUUUAAAAUGUAUACUAAUGUGUGGUAACCUUCCAUGGAUACCAAAAUCAAUGGAUUCUCAAGUCCUAUUAGAUGCAAUGGCAUAGUAAAAUCUCAGGAAACUUGGUUAUCUUGAAAUACAACACUCAAAUUCAGACAUAACACAAGGUUCCAAAAUAAACCUCUUGUGAACAUCAACUGUUAUUGUUGUAUUGUGGUUUGAUUGAUUUGAAGCUCUUGGGGCAUCUCCUCAGUGUUUUUUUUUCUUUAACAGAAAUAUUAUCGUAUAGAGCAAGAAUUAUAUGGAGCAGAUGAUGAUUCAAUAGGCAAAAAGCUUGAGAGGUUAAGGGAUGAACUUGAUGAGCAAGCUAUUACAAUCCUAAGCUUGGAAGAAGAGCUGCAGGAGUAUAAAAACAAAGAUAAGUUUGCAGACAGAGACACUGAAAUACACUUGCUUCACCAAGAAAUUGCGGAAUUCAAAGACCAAAUGGCCAUCCUGAGUGCAAGAAACGCACGCCUUCAAGAUACUGUGAAACGCAGAGAGAAAGAAUUUGUUGAAUUAGAGAAUGAAAUGCUAUCUGUGCAAGAGAAAAAAGAAAAAGAUAUGAAGAUAAUUCAAAAGCUAGUGAACUCUCAAGAAUUAUUGAAGUUGGAGCUUGACAGGGAGAAGCAGCGAGUGCUAUCUAAAACUCGGGUAAGAUCCUGAUCACAAAUAUUGCACUGGUUAAACACACUGUUUGAUUGCCAUCACUUCAAGUACAGGGUUAUAAUGUGCUAUACAUUUACCUUCCUCUCAUCCUAUCAUGAAAAGUUAAAAAAUCAAUGAAUACAUUUUUUUCACUCCAAAAUUAUUUAUGAAAACAAGAGUGCUUAUAAGGCGUACAGACGAAGCCAUAUGGUUCAAAGUGUCAUUGCAAUUUGGUGAUAAUGACAGCUCUGGCUAGGGCACACGCAUAUAUGAAGGUUGAAAAAGUAGAUUCGCAUAGACUUUUAGUUUUAAAGAUAUAUUGAUGCAAUAUUUGUAAGUUUUCUGUACUGUGAACCCAUUGCUCCGGGGCUUAGUCUCCAGCAUGACAGAAAACUAGCCUUCUCUCUCUUCCUUAUGUAAUGCAGCUUAUCACUGUACAAGCAGGGGAAUAAAGAAGAAGUGGCCUGCUCAAGGCUAUCUAAUCAGUAACAGCCAUAACAUGGAACAAUUUAUAGUAAUAGAGUAUCCCAAUCAUACUUGCCACUGUAUGGACUUGAACAAAUAUUUUCUGGUUACCUUACGCAAACUGCAAAACUGGAGAAAUUGGACAACUUAUUUAUUAAUCAAUAUUUCAUUUUGAAGUCCCUUCCCAGCUUUCUUUCAGUCUGAUAAAAACCAUCUUUAGAGUAAAAUGUUUCAUAGGAUUGAUCAUUAUUGGCAUGCAUGUCUUUCUACAGGGUGCUUUGAUAAUUGAAAAAAAUUGCAUGAUGGAAAUAAUAUAAAUUAAUCACUACAUCAGAUCUAAUAAAAGAGGAAUCAGAAACAGAUCUACCAUGAACACUUUGACAAUUGGCCCUAGAUAUGCAUGAAGGAAAAAAACCUGCUCUUGUUUAAAGCCAUGCUUGAGCUAUAUCAUAACUAUAUUUCCCAUGUUUCAAGACUGAAUGCUUAUGCUAAAGGUGGUUCUGAGUUUGGCUCUCAAUUAGGUCUGGCAUUAACUGUUUGAGGCAACAAUAUGAAGCACAAAGAUCUUGUGUAAUGGCAACGUAAUGCAUAACGUUACUCUGUCACCCAAAAAGGAUUAAUGUCUUCCGAUGCCAGGACUUUUCCAUUUUCAGCAUUUUAUAAGUUACAGUUUUUUUCUCAUAAGAUAGUGAAUACACUUUUGUUUUGAUUUUGAAGGAAGUAAAGGAAGCACAAGAUAGUCUAG
rnacentral:lncRNA from 1 species